UUUUUUUUUUGCCGGGGGGAGGGGCAGGAAUCUUCUGAAGCUACCUGUUUAUUUUGUAAAACUUAGUUUAAAUUCAUUUGUAAUACAUUUGAGCACCGUCCUAGGUGCUUGGGACACAUCAAAGAUAAAACUAGAGAAUUUAAUUCAUUACCCCUUUACCCAGACAGCGUAGUAUGGAUGUUGCAAGACACUGGAAGCAAUCGAAGGGGCACAGGGGCCUGUAGGUGGUGACCCACCUCUUUCCUCUAGAAUCCUAAGGACCAUGGGGCCAGGAGACAGAGUGACAGUCAGCCUGCAGACAUAGCAAAUAGUGGUAAAAUCGAAUUCAUUUUGUUUUGUUUUGUUAGAGAAAAAAUAAAUGUAAAUAAAAUAGAUUGGCAUGUUCAUCUCAUUUUCCCUCCUAAGCACAAAGAACUGCUUUUGUCAUUGAUUGCUUAGUGGUGGCUCCAAUACCAGUUUUCCUGUUCUGUGUAGUAUAAAUUAAGCCUUUCCUCCCAAACCUGUGGCUAUGUGUAUGUUAGGUUGACCCCUGGGAAUGCAGCAAUGUGCAUUUUGAGAAGUUUUGCCUAGAACUGCUCAGUAGACACGGUGUGAUGUGUGUGACCCGAACACUUUGUGUUCUAGAAGUCACGGGCAUGAGCAUUGUCCGGAGCUCAGUCUCUGAGUUCUCGUCACGUAGGUGGGCACUGGAGGUCGGCGCAAGUCUGACAGGUAGCAAACCGAAGGCUCGCCGCGCCACAGAGGCAGGGAGCGUGUGGGCAUCGUCCGUUUGUCACAGGAGCCGAGCUGGACUCCUUCAGUUUGGGGGCGAGAGGAAAGGGCUGAUGGCCCAGCUUCCCCCAGUGCCUGGGCGGCUGGUACGUGGCUUGGAGGCGCUGUCCACACAACGUCCAGUUCCAGAAUGGACGCGGGAACCGGGCGUGAUGGAUUAGCUUCUGAGCACCCCGUUCCUGCUCCCCGUCCCUCCUCCAGCCUCCAGCCUCCAUGCAAGACCGUCAGGCCCCGCUCCACACUGGACGAGCUCCUUUUAUCAGGUGGAAGAGGGGAGAAGGCAACGGAGCCAUCAGCCUCCGGAACGGGUGGCUCGUGUUUCUCUGGUGUUACUCGAAGGGUUGCACUAUUUAUCAGUAGUAUCUUCUUAUUACAUAAACGUGUGAACCGAAUUUAAAUCACCUCUCCAGAGGUUAGAUUUUAUAGAAUGAAAUGUGUAAUAAUAACUUCACAUAUGAAUAAUGACAUAGAAACAAGAGCCCUUUCUGAGUUUAUUACAUUACAAUUACCAUGCCUGUAAUUUUUAAACCCUAUGUUUAAAUAAAUUCCAUUGACUUCAACUGUCCCAGAAUGCAGAGCACUCAGAAAAUACAGUACUAGCCCUCCCUUACCCCCAGGGGGAUGUUCUCAGAUCCCCCAGGGCAUGCCUAAAACCGCAGAGAAUACCAAACCUUCUAUGUUCUGCUUUUUUUCUAUAUAUACAGACUUAUUAUAAAUUUUAAUUUACAGGUUUGGUACAGUAAGAGAUUAACAUCAAUAAUAAUAAAAUAGAACAACUGUAACAACAUAUUGUAAUAAAAGUUACGUGAAUGGCCUUGAAGCCAUUAUUAAGUAAAACAAGGGCUACUUGUACACAAGCACGUGUGACCUCGGCAGUCACUCUGACACCUGGCCAGCUACUAAGAGACUACCAGGCUGGUGGCAAACACAGCAUACAGCGUGAAGACACUGGGCAAAGGGAUGAUUCACACCCCUGGGGGAAGCAGAGUGGGAUGAGUGUGAGAUUUCAUCGUGCUUCUCAGAACACUAUGUAAUUUAGAACUUACGAAUUGUUUACUUCUUGAAAUUUCCGUGUAAUAUUUUCUGACCACAGUAACUGAAACCAUGGCAAGUGGAACCUUGGGUAAGGGGGACUGCUGUACUCAGUGAAUCAGUAAUAUUUAGCUUAGACUUUAAUUCUUUAAAGGUAAAAUACUUAAUUAACUUAAUUACUUGAUUACUUCUUAUUUUAAAUUAGGUAGGAUCGGCGUUGAGGAAUAAAAUUCUUUAUUCCUGUGAGCGUGUUCUGCUGGGCCCUCAACCCCCUCUAGGUGGGGUAUUGACUGUGUGUCUUGGUUGUGUGCAUCCUCUAAGGCAGGGCUGUCGUCGUUAAUAUGGAAUGGAGACCAGAGUCACGAGGGUAGUGUCGUAUCGAGAAAUUCUCAUGGAGUCAUCAGAUUUAGAGCCGGACUCGACCUAAGAGGUCACCUAAUCCAGGUGCUCCCAGGUGGAGUGCUCGGGAAGUGGAAUGUCAGAUUUUAAUAAAAUCUAGAAGAGUCUAGAUGCCAGAAACACCUAUUGGAUAGAGAUCCAUAAAGUUUUUUAUGUUUAAAAGAAGUCUUUGCCCACUUCUGGGUAUAUCUCCAACAGAAUUGAAAGAGAAGUCUCAAAGAGAUAUUUGCACACCCAUGUUCACAUUCGCAAUAUCCAAGAGGUAGAAACAACCCAAAUGCUCAUCAACAGAUGAAUGGAUAAACAAACACGGUAUGUCCAUACAAUGGAAUACUAUGCAGCCUUAAAAAGGAAAAUCCUGUCACAUGCUGCAGCAUGGAUGCUAAUGGAAUAAGCCAGUCGCAAAAGAGCAAAACUGUGCGGUUCUACUUACGUGAAGUAUCUAAAGUAGUCGAGUUCAUAGAGACAGGAAGUACAGUGGUGGCUGCCAGGGGCGGGAGGGGUGCAGACGGGAGCUGUUGCAAAUAGCCACAGAGUUUCAGUUCCGUGAUAGGAAAAGGCUCUAGAGACCUGUUUCACGGCAGCAUAAAUACACAUAACACUGCCGAGCUGCGCACUUAAAAAUGGUCCAGGUGGAAACUUUUAUGAUACAUGUUUUUUACUACCAAAAAGGUUUUUUUUUGAUAAAGCAAACAAAAAAAGACUUCACUGCUGUGAAAGAGGUUCGGCGGUUUCUCAGAAAGUUCAACAUGGCAUUGCCACAUGACCCAGCAGUUCUACCCGCAGUAUGUACCCACGUGAGUUGAAAGCAGGUGUUCAAACAAACACUUGUGCGUGAAUGUCCCUGCAUCAUCACUCACACUAGCCAAAAAGGGGAAGCAACUCAAGUGUCCACCAAAUGCUGAAUUAUAAACAAAACAUCCAUGCAGUGGAAUAAUCAGCCAUCAAGAAUGAAGUGCCGACACCUGUUACAACACGGGGUCGAAAGCAUCAUGCGCAAUGAAAGAAGCCAGACGCAAAAGGCCACGUGUUACACGAUUCCAUUUAUUUGAAAUGUUCAGAAUAAUCAAAUUCAAAGAGAUGAAAAGCAGAUGCCUGGUUGCCAGGGGCUGGGGAGGGGAGUGACUGCUAAGACUUUCUCCUGGGGAUGAUGAAAAUGUUUGGAAAUUAGAUCGUGGUGCAACACACUAUUAAAAGAGCCUCUGAAUUGUACUUUAACUGGUUCACAUGGUGAAUGAUACGAUACGUGAAUGUUACCUCAGUUAAAGAAAGGGGUCUCGUGAAUGAGAGCUUGGGGACCACGGCUGUCAUCCAAGCCCACGUUUUCUGAGCCAGGAAAGAGGAAGUGCGCUCCGGCGCACUCCGGCAAAGUGACUCCCUGGAGGGCCAUGGCUGCCACACUCGGGACGCCAGGACACUCAGGCGAAGGUGGGGAGAGGGGGUUCCUCAGAGGCUUCCCGCUGCCAACAGCAACAAACCUCAGCUCAAACCGCACAAGGCAGCAAGGACACAUGCUGUCUCCUGUGAAGAAGGGGCAGGGUUGGCUCUGGGCAAGGCGGGUCCCUCGGGCACAUCCAGGGCCACCUGUCCGCACCACUGGUAGCUCCACCUUCCUCCACGGGCGGGCAGGCGGUCAGGUCCGGACACGUGGUGUCCGGAGGAAGGACGGAGCAUCUCUUCUGGAGUCUCUUGUCAGGAGCGAGAAAAGUUUUGCCAGAGGCCCUCUAGCAGACUCAUCGCCCAGAACUGGGUCACGUGACUCCCUAACUCAGACAUUGCGGGUCACCAGGAUAACCAGCGUUUCUGCUCCACCGUUGGCUCGAGGUCGCUAGAAAGAUGCGUUUUCUGCUAAGGGGAAGCCAGAGCAGGAUCCGUGUGGAAAUAUCUCUCCAAGAUUUACGGUCAGGCCUGAGGCUAAGGAUUUGGGGGGGGUUGGUGCGCUGGUCCGAAGGCGGGGGACUGCGGCCUCGCUGGUGUUUUACAAAGCGGAGCUUUGCGGUGGCCUGCGGGGCACCAGAGAGAAGGGUCUGUCCGGGAUCUUCCAAGGAUUCUUCCAAAAAGUUGAACUGCCACCACUAACCGUUUAUUCUGGGUAACUUCCGUAUUUCUAUAAGUCAGGACCAAAGAUUUCAAGUGGGAGAAUAAAGAUUCUAAAUGGCAUCUGUUAAGUGUCCCUUUGCAGCACGUUUUCCCAGUGUCGUGAUAACGAAAUUUGAGCAUCUUGGGCCAGUCCGACCGAAUGUAGAGAAGUAAUUGCUGUUUACUCUUUUGGGGGCGUCGUGGGAGGUGGGAAAUGAAGGCAAGGAAAGCUAAGAUGAUAGAGUAGAAAUAUGCAAGCUCUAAUACAUGUGGGCAUGUAUUUCGAAGAUGGCAGUUGAGUAUACAGCCUAAGUUUGAUUAUAAGAGGACUAAUUAGUUUCAUUUAUCGAUCGACAUUCCUGCCUAUGGCAUAGCUUGACCUCUGCAGCUAAGAUUUCCUUCUGCUACACAUGGAUUCGAUGGAGAGCGGGCAGUGUGGAGAAAGGGUUGUCAACAGCCCACAAUAUUGGAUGAGUCCUGUGGGCCGAGGAGAAAUCUAGGCUAAUAAACAACAUGAACGUUGUUAAUUAACAUGCUAUGAAAUUAACAUGGGAAAGUCGAGACCCUCCCAAUCUAGAAACACACACAGACUUUCGAUGAGCAGAGACUGUCCUCGCUGGGGAGCGGCGUACAUGGGCAUUUUGGGGAAGUCAGAGCAGGCGGUGUGCUGAAGCCGGAGGGGGCUGGCUGGACCUCCCGCCCCUCCGCCUCGCCCUCCCCACAUCGCCCCUCUCCUCAGUCACACUUCGGCAUGCGGGCUUCAUGCGAGGGAUAGCUCUCCGAGCUGCUCCAAGGUGUGGCACAGCGCCCUUGCCCAGUGCUGCGGGUCACGGCCAUCCGUGUGCGUCCUGGAGCACCACCGAGCAAGCCACAUCACUGUGCACCCUUCCUCCUGCCGUGCCCCCUGUUAAAGUGGAAACUGCGAAGGGUCUGAGGUUUUACCUUUUUGCCACCUCACCAGUUAGCUUGCCACGGAGAAUCUUGUUCUCCUGAGUCCUGGGGCAUCACCUGUAGCAUCCCACGACCCGUCUCCUCUCAGUGAUGGAGGGGUUCAUAGAGCCUCUCAAAUUUUAAUGCUCUUGCAGAUUGCCCGGGAAUCUUGUGAAAAUGUGGAUUUUGCGUCAGCGGGCCUGGGGUAGGACCUGAGACUCUGCAUUUCUUGCAGGCUCCCAGCGGGUGAGGCGCCGCUCGUUCCUGCCACACUUUGAGUGGCGAGAUUCCAUCCCAAUAUCUAAUGCCAGGAGGUGGCGGACAUCAUUUUAUGGACAAGGACGUCUGCUGAGAAGGGCUAACGACAUGCCCAAGGUCGUUCCAAUAGGAACGGACAGAAGUAGAAUUUGAAUCCUAAUCUGUCUGAUUCCAAAGACUUGCCUCUCUGCUGCCCACUACUUACAUUCUGGCAACCAGCCUUCUUUUCGCAAAGGGUCGGAGAGAAUUAUUGAAAAGAGAGCCUAAAAUUCUACUUGGAAGUUUAACAUUCGGAGACAUAUUUUCCACACUCGGAUUGGAUUACCAGAUACCAGUUUCCAUCCAAAUUCAUUUCAGAUAAAAGAGUUCCCGUGAGUCCCCUUGUCCCCCCGUUGUCGGCUCGGGCUCUGCAGCUUUGCGAGGCACGGUGUCGGACCGCUGCGGUGGCGCGGGCUUCCACGAGGACAUCCCCACCGCCACCGCUCCCCCGGGGCCUGGCCCAUGGCAGCCGCUCUCCGGCAAGUCUUCAGAGCUGAUGGCAGCAGCCGCAGAGCCAGGAAAAUGACUGUUCCCUUGGGAACCACGCGGCCCCGUGCGUGAGAAACACAGGGCACAAAGACGGGGUCCGGUUCAACCUGAGAAGCCAUCGAUUUCAGAUUCCCGAAACCAGCUGCAAAGAAAGGAAAUCAGACCAGAAAAGUACAAUAAGAGGAAGUUGGCAUCCGUGUAAAAUCAAUGACUCAUGGCUACUGAAUGCGUUAUGACUUUAAGUGGAAAAAAGAACUGAUAAGUCUUAAAUGGGAAGGGUGUGCCACAUGGCACAAAACAAAUACUGUUGGAGAAUGGAAGAGCCUGUUUUCAUUUUGCCAGAGAUUCCGAAUGUGAUUAUAGAUCAAAAUAAACGCAAACCCUUUGCAGCUCUGGCAAGGCUGAGCCUACAGCGUGGGCUUCUAUGAGAAAGCCUUUGUCACCUUUGUGGGGCGGAGGGGCGCCUGAGUGGGAGAAACGGGGGGGGAAGAGGCUCCGGGCCACAGCGUCCACUGAACCCCCUCUCUCCUGAGAGGAGGAGGGAAUAUUACCCCGAGCAUCUUCUAGGCCUUUGCACCCACGUGGCUGUCGUCCCUGGAUAAGAGGCACUGGAAACGCAGGCCUGGGGGUGCGCACGAGGCCUCCUCCCUCAGAGUCGCUGAGUGAGUCAGCGUCCCUUAGGGAACUAGGAACCAGAAAGGACAAGUGUAGAGUUUGACCCAACUCGGCCUGGGCCUUUUGCCCAGUCGUUUAUCUGUUAAUCUCUUCGCUUUCUUUCUUAUCCCAAAGCACAUUCAUGACUACAAAAUCAAGCAGUCUAGGUACACUUAGUCCCCAAGAGUCAGCCUUCCAUUAUCUGCUCGAAAUGUGCUUAAAGCAGCUCGGCUUGGGAAAGUCCCAAGCGGCGGGGAGGGGCCAGGGUCCCUGAGCCUGGGCUGGUGGCUCCUUCGUGGUCCCAGGUGAGGCACGAACCUUUGGGGCCGUCAGCUCCUCAUCUGUAACACUAGAUUCGUAGACGAGUCUAUUUCUCUUGCGGGACGUUUAUGGUGAACACAGCAUGAGGAAAAACGAACACCUGCGAUCUUUGAAGAGAAUUAAAGCACACUUGAAUUAUUAACAGUCACACAUUUACAGAGUUCCCGUCGCGUGGCGGGAACUUCACUAGACGCGAGGAAAUGUAAGGGAGCCCUCGGGGAUCUUGGGGAGACAGCUCCGUCCUCGCCGAGGCUGUCUGCAUUCCUGGGUGGCGGAGCGGUUCCUGGUGGGUAAUGAUAAGUCAUCUCAGAAUCAGAAACUCUCAAAGGUGCUGUGCUUGAAAGUUUUUUUCAUGUUUUUACUAAAAAAUGGUUGCGUGACGUUUUUAGGCUAGCACAAGGCAGUGGACCGCCUGUGCUCUGUGGCUCGUUGGACAGAUCUCCAGGUUACGUCCAGGCCUCCGAUUUUUUCUGCACCCAAACAACGCACCGUGUGUAUUUCGGCGUUUGCUUUACUCCUCUUCCAAAUGGACGCCUGGCAAAUGCACUCGAGUGACCGUCACACAGUCCCCCUAAGACACAGAGCGAGACGCCGAGUGUCCGUUAGGAGCUCUGUCAACACCGAAGGUGUCACAGCUCAGCAUUAUAACGAGGAUGAAGACGGCGCCGUGUAGUGUGAUGGAUAGCCAACUCCGACCAAGAUUCGUAAUGGGGUGGGGGCUUUGUUUCACACCUGUCUUCUGAUGCUUGAGUCUCGAGCACUCUCGUCUCUCCUUGUGAAGGGCUGUGUGUUAAUUAGUGACUGUAGUGUGCUGUCUUUUUCCUUACUAAAAAUGCUCAAGAACG